GACGAACGCUGGCGGCGUGCCUAAUACAUGCAAGUCGGGCGGAAUGAUGAAGAAGCUUGCUUCUUCUGAUUUUAGCGGCGGACGGGUGAGUAACACGUGGGCAACCUACCUUGUAGAUUGGGAUAACUCCGGGAAACCGGGGCUAAUACCGAAUAAUCCAUUUUGCUUCAUGGCGAGAUGUUGAAAGACGGUUUCGGCUGUCACUACAAGAUGGGCCCGCGGCGCAUUAGCUAGUUGGUAGGGUAAUGGCCUACCAAGGCGACGAUGCGUAGCCGACCUGAGAGGGUGAUCGGCCACACUGGGACUGAGACACGGCCCAGACUCCUACGGGAGGCAGCAGUAGGGAAUCUUCCACAAUGGACGAAAGUCUGAUGGAGCAACGCCGCGUGAGUGAAGAAGGUUUUCGGAUCGUAAAACUCUGUUGUAAGGGAAGAACACGUACGAGAGUAACUGCUCGUACCUUGACGGUACCUUAUUAGAAAGCCACGGCUAACUACGUG
rnacentral:rRNA from 1 species